rnacentral:rRNA from 1 species
AUUGAACGCUGGCGGCAUGCUUUACACAUGCAAGUCGAACGGUAACAGGCCGCAAGGUGCUGACGAGUGGCGAACGGGUGAGCAAUGCAUCGGAACGUGCCCAGUCGGGGGGGAGAACGCCGCGAAAGCUGUGCUAAUACCGCAUACGAUCUGUGGAUGAAAGCGGGGGACCGUAAGGCCUCGCGCGAUUGGAGCGGGCGAUGUCAGAUUAGGUAGUUGGGGGGGUAAAGGCGCACCAAGCCGACGAUCUGUAGCUGGUCUGAGAGGACGACCAGCCACACUGGGACGGAGACACGGCCCAGACUCCUACGGGAGGCAGCAGUGGGGAAUUUUGGACAAUGGGCGCAAGCCUGAUCCAGCAAUGCCGCGUGCAGGAAGAAGGCCUUCGGGUUGUAAACUGCUUUUGUACGGAGCGAAAAGGCUCUCUCUAAUACAGGGGGCUCAUGACGGUACCGUAAGAAUAAGCACCGGCUAACUACGUGCCAGCCGCCGCCGUAAGAC